GAGGAUGGAGUGGUGGGACUCUCAGCAGCACUUCCCUCUGCGGGGCAGCACAGUCAGAGCUGCCCUCUCGCCAGGCCGAUCGGUGGCUCCCCACUCGCUCUGCCUCUUCCUCCCCCUGAGCGAGGGGCCCAGGGGCAGCCUAAAGGCCGGGAGGCUGCCCCACGCCAGCAGUGCGGUGGGAGUGGCCCCAAGACGAGGCUGCGUGGGAAGAGCGGCCAGGUGGGUGAUCCUGCCAGCCCGGUGCCUGGGUCAUGGUGGAAUGGACAUCCCCAGAGAUGGAUAACUGCUGUCGAUCACAAGGUACACGGGUGACUGGACGAGAAGCAGUGGGGGAGGGGCAGCAGGGACCCGGACAGAGCCUCUGGUUUCCCUUCCCCUGCAGUCCCCGUGUGAGACCAGCAUCUGUGGCCUGGCCCCGCCCCCAACUGGCCUGCCUGCCUGUGGGCCUCACAACCCUGGGGACUGCCCGACCCCACCCUCCUGCCCACUUCUGGGAAAGCUACCCCAUGUGGCUGGACCUUCAAAACAACUUGAAAAACCCCUUUUCCAGUGCACCCCACAGGCCACCACCUGCUGGUCAGGUCAGCCUGUAGCACACUGCCCUGCUGGGCCCCGCGCGCAAGGUUGGGCAAACAGAGAGGAAGAGGAAGCUGCGGCUGAGGGGUGGCAGUCCCAGCCAGAGGCCUGGGAGCUCCACCAUCCCUGGGGCCACUACCCCCUGCAGGCCCUGUCCCAGCCCUGGGCGGGGGCCCUAGGACUGAGACCUGCUCUGAUGGGGGUGGCUCAGGAGAGGCACACCCUGCUGUCAUGGGCCUGGGUCCUCAGGGUCACAGUCACAGGGAUCGGGGCACCCACAGCUGGAGGGUGACUCCUCAGAAGACACCCCAGCCUCCCCCAGGCCCCCCCUCUGAGCCCACCCUGCCCCCUGCCCCCUGCCCCCUGUCCCUUACAGCGUCUAUUUCUGUAUUUGAUCACCUACACGGACAGGGCUGUCACCACCUGUCCCCUUUUCACAGUGAGAGGGUAGGACUUCACAAAAGCGGGGACCCCACGGAGCCCCCACAGCCCCGGGCUCAGUGCCCACUGUGCUUCCCACGGAAAGGGAGCCGGAACCAGGACCUCUCCCCCCUCGCCAAACUCCGCCCCCGGGUGAAAACAGCGACAGAACUGAAGUGGCGAGAGCAGCAAGAGCACGUGCAAGUCCACCAAGCGGAGCACCAGGGUCCCCACAGUUCACCCCAGUUCCGCCUCUGUGACAACCAGGCUCCAGCAGAGGCCAGGGGUCCCCACACCUGGGCGGAAAGCUGCAGGGAGCCACCCACCUCUCCCAGGUCCCCAGGUGUCUGCCAGGUGACAUCACAGGAGGCUCAGCCUGAGGACGGAGGCGGGGAUUCAUCUACGUCACUUAAGCUGUGAUUACUGACCUGCCACCACGGACACACGUCCACCUCGACUCCUCACGACUCAGAGAGAUGAGACAACCUACCCGAAACUCGUGAUUAGUACAUGCAUCCUGUUAACCCCUGAACUGUGUACCGUGACUCUGCUGGGUGGAGUCCAGUGACGUGUACCACCUGUGUACCGUGACUCCCCUGGAUCCGUGACUCCCCUGGGGUGGCUGCACAGGGAGGGUGGGAGGCCCUGAGAGGCGGUAGAGGGUGUCCCAUGGUCAGCAUGUGGAGGGAGAGGGGAUUGGGCAACUGGGGACAUGAGAACCCAAACUGACGGGCUUCCCCUGCUUCUCCUCUGCAUUCUCCUCCUUCCUUGCCCAGGGGACAGCCCAGGGCGAGGCCAGAGGAACACAAAACACACCCUGUCAGCUCUUGCUGCUUUGCUAACCAAGGGUAGGGUGAACCCGCAGGCAGCCGGUUCAAAAACCUCUUAUAUUUGGCUUCGGGAGUCCCAUUCGCCCUUGACCUUGACUAUGUGAGUUACCGGCAUUCUGGGGAUGACUCCAACUCCCAAGGCCUCAGCAAGGUCGGAAGCGCCCCCCAACCCCUCCCAUGCAACCACCUUGACCUCACUGCUCAUCUGUCCCAGCACCUCGGUGGUCUUUGCACAGACACUUCCAGAAGCUGGUGGAAUGUGUGCCUUUCCAAGGGCUACUUCAGGCAAGCCCAGGGUUAACAGGGCUUUGUAGGGUGUGAGCGUUAACUCUGGGUGGACUGAGCCUCUGUGCCCCUUCCAGGCAGCUGUUGAGUAUUAGCCACGCUGCCAGCGAGUGAAGGGCCCAGAGAGGGCGCUCGGCUUCCUGAGCCUGGUCCUCUCCACUUCCCUCGGGUUUCCGGCUCCUCUCUGCCCAGGUGGGUGGUGCGGCGUGCUGAGAGGUCCCGCGGUCCCUGGUCCAGCCCACUUCCAUUCUCGGAGUCUCCUGGUACAUUACGCAAUGGAGAGGUUCCAAAAGAGGACUCGACGAGCCCAGGUUUUUGACAGGCAACACACGGGGGGAGGGGGGGGCAGGAAAAUAAUAAAACCGGGCUCUCACAAUCACAAGAUCUGUGACAAGACAAACUGUGGUGUGGGCCGGCCGUGGGAUCCAGGGACACAGUUGUAGGAGGGUUACCUUCUCUCCUUCCCACGCACUCUGGGACUGCAGGGAGACAUUCACCCGUGAGAACCUUAACUCCACGUUUGAGGGAGUGCUCUGAAACCGGGCUUGGGUCAUGGUUGUGCGGUGCUGUGAAUUUACUAAAAGUUAUUAAAUUGUAUGUUUGAGA